rnacentral:rRNA from 1 species
CCCUUAGACGUUCUGGGCCGCACGCGCGCUACACUGACCAGUGCAACAAGCAUCCGUCCUUGGCCGACAGGCUCGGGCAAUCUUUGAACGCUGGUCGUGAUGGGGAUAGACUUUUGCAAUUUUUGGUCUUCAACGAGGAAUUCCUAGUAAACGCAAGUCAUCAACUUGCAUUGAUUACGUCCCUGCCCUUUGUACACACCGCCCGUCGCACCUACCGAUUGAAUGGUCCGGUGAAGCCUCCGGAUUGGCGCGCACCUCGGUGCCGCCGAGAAGUUGGCUAAACCUUACCACUUAGAGGAAGGUGAANUCGUANCA